UUAAAAUUUUGCUUUUAGUUCCUCGGUGAUUUUGGAGCAGAAUCCAUCUUUGAGUAUAUUUUAAAGUCUAAUGAUAUAAAAGCAAGAGUGGGCAAAGCAAGAGGAUGCACUUUCGGAUUUGAAGGGUAUGGCUGUUUGAUUUCAGAUGAAACCGAUCCUUACAAUAUUUGUUCAUUGCUCAUUAGCUACAUACUGCUUGUGAAAUUGAUAAUUUUGGGGACCUUGAUCAGUUAUAGGCUGUAGAUGGAUGCUUGCCAAAACUUUGCCAAAGCAACAGCAAAACUAUUCAGCAGGCAGCAGCUGCAUCAAAAAACGCAGGCAGCCGCGGCAGCAACACAAGCAGCCGGAAUAGCAGCAUCAGCAGAAGGCAGCAGUAUCAAAAGGUAGCAGCAAAAACAGUAGUAAAUAGCAGCAACAUGCAACUAAAGACAGCUGCGGCAGUAGGUAUGUAGUUCUGCAACUCUGCUCUAUUUUUUUAUAAGUCUAGAUAUAUUUUCUUCAAUUAUGCAUAACUAUGAAAGUAUAUAUACAUAUGAAAUUAGUAGUUACUGUUAAAAGCUUGCCUUAUAUUUUCAGCUAAGGCAGAUUUUAUAUCUAAUUGUUCCAUGUAAUGAUGUAAUAGAACUGCUUUUGCCUCAGUUAUGAACCUUCCUGCAUUUUCUUGUUACA